rnacentral:rRNA from 1 species
CGGAGGAUCCAAGCGUUAUCCGGAUUUAUUGGGUUUAAAGGGUGCGUAGGCGGAAUGAUAAGUCAGUGGUGAAAGCCUGCAGCUUAACUGUAGAAUUGCCGUUGAUACUGUUGUUCUUGAGUAUAUUUGAUGUGGGCGGAAUGUGUCAUGUAGCGGUGAAAUGCUUAGAUAUGACACAGAACACCGAUUGCGAAGGCAGCUCACAAAACUAUAACUGACGCUGAGGCACGAAGGCGUGGGGAUCAAACAGGAUUAGAUACCCUGGUAGUCCACGCUGUAAACUAUGAUUACUCGAUGUUUGCGAUACACUGUAAGCGUCUAAGCGAAAGCGUUAAGUAAUCCACCUGGGGAGUACGCUCGCAAGAGUG